UACGAAGGGGGCGAGCGUUGUUCGGAAUUACUGGGCGUAAAGGGCGCGCAGGCGGCUCUUCAAGUCAGGCGUGAAAGCCCCGGGCUUAACCUGGGAAUUGCGGUUGGGACUGGAGGGCUUGAGUGCGGCAGAGGAGACUGGAAUUCCUGGUGUAGCACUGAAAUGCGUAGACAUCAGGAGGAACACCGAUGGCGAAGGCAGGUCUCUGGGCUGACACUGACGCUCAUGCACGAAAGCGUGGGGAGCGAAUGGG
rnacentral:rRNA from 1 species